rnacentral:rRNA from 1 species
AUUGAACGCUGGCGGCAGGCCUAACACAUGCAAGUCGAGCGGAUGACGGGAGCUUGCUCCUUGAUUCAGCGGCGGACGGGUGAGUAAUGCCUAGGAAUCUGCCUGGUAGUGGGGGACAACGUUUCGAAAGGAACGCUAAUACCGCAUACGUCCUACGGGAGAAAGCAGGGGACCUUCGGGCCUUGCGCUAUCAGAUGAGCCUAGGUCGGAUUAGCUAGUUGGUGGGGUAAUGGCCCACCAAGGCGACGAUCCGUAACUGGUCUGAGAGGAUGAUCAGUCACACUGGAACUGAGACACGGUCCAGACUCCUACGGGAGGCAGCAGUGGGGAAUAUUGGACAAUGGGCGAAAGCCUGAUUCAGCCAUGCCGCGUGUGUGAAGAAGGUCUUCGGAUUGUAAAGCACUUUAAGUUGGGAGGAAGGGCAGUAAGUUAAUACCUUGCUGUUUUGACGUUACCGACAGAAUAAGCACCGGCUAACUCUGUGCCAGCAGCCGCAGUAACAC